UACGUAGGUGGCAAGCGUUAUCCGGAAUCAUUGGGCGUAAAGAGCGCGCAGGUGGUUGAUUAAGUCUGAUGUGAAAGCCCACGGCUUAACCGUGGAGGGUCAUUGGAAACUGGUCGACUUGAGUGCAGAAGAGGGAAGUGGAAUUCCAUGUGUAGCGGUGAAAUGCGUAGAGAUAUGGAGGAACACCAGUGGCGAAGGCGGCUUCCUGGUCUGUAACUGACACUGAGGCGCGAAAGCGUGGGGAGCAAACAGGAUUAGA
rnacentral:rRNA from 1 species